AGUGAACGCUGGCGGUAGGCCUAACACAUGCAAGUCGAACGGCAGCACAGUAAGAGCUUGCUCUUACGGGUGGCGAGUGGCGGACGGGUGAGGAAUACAUCGGAAUCUACUUUUUCGUGGGGGAUAACGUAGGGAAACUUACGCUAAUACCGCAUACGACCUACAGGUGAAAGCAGGGGAUCUUCGGACCUUGCGCGAUUGAAUGAGCCGAUGUCGGAUUAGCCAGUUGGCGGGGUAAAGGCCCACCAAGGCGACGAUCCGUAGCUGGUCUGAGAGGAUGAUCAGCCACACUGGAACUGAGACACGGUCCAGACUCCUACGGGAGGCAGCAGUGGGGAAUAUUGGACAAUGGGCGCAAGCCUGAUCCAGCCAUACCGCGUGGGUGAAGAAGGCCUUCGGGUUGUAAAGCCCUUUUGUUGGGAAAGAAAAGCAGCAGGUUAAUACCCCGCUGUUCUGACGGUACCCAAAGAAUAAGCACCGGCUAACUUCGUG
rnacentral:rRNA from 1 species